rnacentral:tRNA from 1 species
UGGGGGAUCGUCUAGCGGCAGGACACGAGACUCUGGAUCUGGGAACCAUGGUUCGAAUCCAUGUCCCCCAACCA